rnacentral:rRNA from 1 species
UAAUACGGAGGAUGCGAGCGUUAUCCGGAUUCAUUGGGUUUAAAGGGUGCGUAGGCGGACUGAUAAGUCAGUGGUGAAAUCCUGCAGCUUAACUGUAGAACUGCCAUUGAUACUGUUAGUCUUGAGUUUGGUUAAGGUAGGCGGAAUGUGUAAUGUAGCGGUGAAAUGCUUAGAUAUUACACAGAACACCGAUUGCGUAGGCAGCUUACUGGACCGACACUGACGCUGAGGCACGAAAGCGUGGGGAUCGAACAGG